rnacentral:rRNA from 1 species
UACGGAGGAUCCAAGCGUUAUCCGGAAUUACUGGGCGUAAAGAGUUGCGUAGGUGGCAUGGUAAGUUGCUAGUGAAAUCCUGGGGCUCAACCCCUUACCCAUUAGCAAGACUGCCAAGCUAGAGGACAAGAGAGGUACCUGGAAUUCCUAGUGUAGGAGUGAAAUCCGUAGAUAUUAGGAGGAACACCGAUGGCGUAGGCAGGGUACUGGCUUGUUCCUGACACUGAGGCACGAAAGCAUGGGGAGCGAACGGG